GGCUCUUUGACAUACACAUAUACAGAGUCUAACCUGCCCGGUGAUUUUUUUUAACGGCCGCAGUAUAUUAACUGUGCUAAGGUAGCAUAAUAAUUUGUUCUAUAAUUGAGGACUGGAAUGAAUGGUUUCACAAGAGCAAAGCUGUCUCUUUUACACUUAAUAGAAUUUUACUUUCAGAUGAAGAGGUUUGAAUAAAAUUAAAAGACAAGAAGACCCUAUCGAGCUUAAAAAAAAUUAAUAGAUCAAAAUAAUAUUAAUUAAAAAAUAACUAUUAAAGAUUUUGGUUGGGGCGACUAAGGAACCAAAAAAGCUUCCUUAAAAAUAAAACUACUUACACGUAUUGAUCCAAAAAUUUUGAUUAAUGGAAAUAGUUACCGUAGGGAUAACAGCAUUAUCUUCUUUGAGAGCCCAAAUCGAAAAGAAGGUUUGUGACCUCGAUGUUGGACCAGAAUAUCCUAAAGGUGCAGAAGUCUUUAAGGGUUGGUCUGUUCGACCAUUAAAAUUCU
rnacentral:rRNA from 1 species